AUUGAACGCUGGCGGCAGGCCUAACACAUGCAAGUCGAACGCGUGGCGGACGGGUGAGUAAUGUCUGGGAACCUGCCUGAUGGAGGGGGAUAACUGCUGGAAACGGUAGAUAAUACCGCAUACCAUCGGAUGUGCCCAGAUGGGAUUAGCUAGUGGGUGGGGUAACGGCUCACCUAGGCGACGAUCCCUAGCUGGUCUGAGAGGAUGACCGGCCACACUGGAACUGAGACACGGCCCAGACUCCUACGGGAGGCAGCAGUGGGGAAUAUUGCACAAUGGGCGAAAGCCUGACGGAGCAAUGCCGCGUGUGUGAAGAAGGCCUUCGGGUUGUAAAGCACUGUCAGCGGGGAGGCGUUACCCGAAGAGGAAGCAACGGCUAACUCCGUGCCAGCAGCCGCGGUAAUUC
rnacentral:rRNA from 1 species